rnacentral:lncRNA from 1 species
GACAAUUCGCUGACUAAGAAUUACGUGUCUCGAAAGUCCAUGGCUAAAAAGUUCUCCAUGUGGAUAGCAGAACUCAUUCUGCUGCAUUUCAAAACUACCUAUGACUUGUAUUUGUCUGGCCAGACAAAAUGUGAGCUUGAAAGAGAAUACAUGCAGACGAAUGCGUAUAUUGCAUGUUUUAGGAACUAUCAGCAUUAAUAAUGUCACCACCUUGAAAGACACUCAGAUGACAGGCAUUAGAAGCAGGGCGAGACGAGGCAUGGGGGCCGGUGGCCGUGGUGGCCCGGCGGCAGGUGUAGGCACACGGCGGCAGCGGCACCCCGCGACCCUUCAGACCCUUCAGUCGGAGCGAGGGAAGCGCCUGCGCCGGCUGGGGCUGCGGCGAGCGUCGAGGAUCGCUGGAAGAGUGAAUUUCUCCUGCCCGAGUAACGGGGAACGGGGCAAACCUGCCGCGGCUCCCAGGUGGAGGUGGAUCUUGGAUGAAGAGACUGACCAAAUUAAAAAUAUAUAUGUAUAUAUAUUAAAUAAAGGGAUCUCAGAAUAUGCUUCUGUUUCUGUAUAGAGGAUAUUUUUCUACAUCUCCUGUCCUCCACCUUGGAUUUUGUUGAUGCAUAGUGUUCACCAACAAAUGCUAUUCUGUUUAGAAGACACCUUUUCUGUACCUCCUACAACUAUGGCUUAGGAAGAGUAUCACAGUGCACUUUACUCCUGUCUUAAGGCAGGGUAUGACUGUCUGGUGAUUGCAGAUUUUCAGGGAAUAUGCUGUCUUGAUUAUCAGUUCCUAGACAAUACAGUUUAGUUUUUAUUCCUACGAAGUGGUAGAUACAGAAUGCAGUGCAAGUACCAGGAAAGCACAGAUUUAGAGUAUUAUAUAUAGUGGCCCUGGGUCUUACAAAAUAAAAGUGUGUGUGUAAAGGAUAGUUUGCA